GACGAACGCUGGCGGCGUGCCUAAUACAUGCAAGUCGAGCGAACUUGCGGGAGCUUGCUCCCAAAAGUUAGCGGCGGACGGGUGCGUAACACGUGGGCAACCUGCCUAUAAGACUGGGAUAACUUCGGGAAACCGGAGCUAAUACCGGAUAAUUCUUUUCUAAACAUGUAGAAAAGCUGAAAGACGGGUUACGCUGUCACUUAUAGAUGGGCCCGCGGCGCAUUAGCUAGUUGGUGAGGUAACGGCUCACCAAGGCCACGAUGCGUAGCCGACGUGAGAGGGUGAUCGGCCACACUGGGACUGAGACACGGCCCAGACUCCUACGGGAGGCAGCAGUAGGGAAUCUUCCGCAAUGGACGAAAGUCUGACGGAGCAACGCCGCGUGAGUGAUGAAGGUUUUCGGAUCGUAAAACUCUGUUGUUAGGGAAGAACAAGUACGAGAGUAACUGCUCGUACCUUGACGGUACCUAACCAGAAAGCCACGGCUAACUACGUGCCAGCAGCCGCCGUAA
rnacentral:rRNA from 1 species